CCUACGGGUGGCAGCAGUGGGGAAUAUUGCGCAAUGGGCGAAAGCCUGACGUAGCGACGCCGCGUGAGGGAUGAAGGUCUUCGGAUCGUAAACCUCUGUCAGCAGGGAAGAACGGUCACUGUGUUAAUCAGCAGUGAAUCGACGGUACCUGAGUAAGAAGCCCCGGCUAACUACGUGCCAGCAGCCGCGGUAAUACGUAGGGGGCAAGCGUUAUCCGGAUUUACUGGGUGUAAAGGGAGCGUAGACGGCAGUGCAAGUCUGGUGUGAAAGGCGGGGGCUCAACCCCCGGACUGCUCUGGAAACUGUACGGCUGGAGUGCAGGAGAGGUAGGUGGAAUGCCUAGUGUAGCGGUGAAAUGCGUAGAUAUUAGGAGGAACACCAGUGGCGAAGGCGGCUUACUGGACUGUAACUGACGUUGAGGCGCGAAAGCGUGGGGAGCAAACAGGAUUAGAUACCCGAGUAGUC
rnacentral:rRNA from 1 species